ensembl:snoRNA SNORA70 Small nucleolar RNA SNORA70
CAGCAGCCAAUUAAGCUGCUCAGGUUCCUUUACCCACAAGGAUUUUCUGGGCACUAGCUACAAACAGAAGCCCUCUUGGUAAUGCAUACCUCCUGUUGUUAGUAUGGGUUGACCCAAGGCUUCUAAUGGAUCUUC